AGAGGCCCUAGUUGAUAAGCACGGCGUAAAGGGUGGUUAAGGGAGUACAUAAAUAAAGCCGAAGGGCCCUCUGGCCGUUAUACGCUUCUAGGCGCCCGAAGCCCAAACACGAAAGUAGCUUUAAUUUAGCCCACCUGACCCCACGAAAACUGAGAAACAAACUGGGAUUAGAUACCCCACUAUGCUCAGUCAUAAACCCAAAUGUCAAAUUACAAUAGACAUUCGCCCGGGUACUACGAGCGUCA
rnacentral:rRNA from 1 species